rnacentral:rRNA from 1 species
UACGGAGGGUGCGAGCGUUGUCCGGAAUCACUGGGCGUAAAGGGCGCGUAGGUGGCCCGGGAAGUCGGCGGUGAAAGCCCGGCGCUCAACGCCGGGUCGGCCGUCGAUACUCUCGGGCUCGAGCUCACUAGAGGCAGAUGGAAUUCCAGGUGUAGCGGUGAAAUGCGUAGAUAUCUGGAGGAACACCGGUGGCGAAGGCGGCAUCCUGGACCAACACUGACGCUGAUGAGCGAAAGCCAGGGGAGCAAACGGG